CGUCAGAUGAACCGCUGAGCGGCAUGCUUAGAUUGUGCAAGUCGAGCGGCAGCAUGAUCUAGNUUUGCUGGAUUGAUGGCGAGUGGCGAACGGGUGAGUAAUACAUCGGAACGUGCCCUGUAGUGGGGGAUAACUAGUCGAAAGAUUAGCUAAUACCGCAUACGACCUGAGGGUGAAAGUGGGGGACCGCAAGGCCUCAUGCUAUAGGAGCGGCCGAUGUCUGAUUAGCUAGUUGGUGAGGUAAAGGCUCACCAAGGCGACGAUCAGUAGCUGGUCUGAGAGGACGAUCAGCCACACUGGGACUGAGACACGGCCCAGACUCCUACGGGAGGCAGCAGUGGGGAAUUUUGGACAAUGGGCGAAAGCCUGAUCCAGCAAUGCCGCGUGUGUGAAGAAGGCCUUCGGGUUGUAAAGCACUUUUGUCCGGAAAGAAAUGGCUCUGGUUAAUACCUGGGGUCGAUGACGGUACCGGAAGAAUAAGGACCGGCUAACUACGUGCCAGCAGCCGCGGUAAUACGUAGGGUCCAAGCGUUAAUCGGAAUUACUGGGCGUAAAGCGUGCGCAGGCGGUUGUGCAAGACCGAUGUGAAAUCCCCGAGCUUAACUUGGGAAUUGCAUUGGUGACUGCACGGCUAGAGUGUGUCAGAGGGGGGUAGAAUUCCACGUGUAGCAGUGAAAUGCGUAGAGAUGUGGAGGAAUACCGAUGGCGAAGGCAGCCCCCUGGGAUAACACUGACGCUCAUGCACGAAAGCGUGGGGAGCAAACAGGAUUAGAUACCCUGGUAGUCCACGCCCUAAACGAUGUCAACUAGUUGUUGGGGAUUCAUUGUCUUUAGUCACGUAGNAAAAACANAAAUAGANCGCGNNUAGAUUUNUCGACCGCCUGGGGAGUACGGGUCGCAAGAUUAAACNCAAANNNNAAUNGACGGGANA
rnacentral:rRNA from 1 species